AUACGUAGGGGGCGAGCGUUGUCCGGAAUGAUUGGGCGUAAAGGGCGCGUAGGCGGCCUGUUAAGUCUGGAGUGAAAGUCCUGUUUUCAAGAUGGGAAUUGCUUUGGAUACUGAUGGGCUUGAGUGCAGGAGAGGUUAUCGGAAUUCCCGGUAUAGCGGUGAAAUGCGUAGAGAUCGGGAGGAACACCAGUGGCGAAGGCGGGUAACUGGACUGCAACGGACGCUGAGGCGCGAAAGUGUGGGGAGCAAACAGGAUUAGAUACCCUGGUAGUCCACACUGUAAACGAUGAAUGCUAGGUGUAAGAGGUAUCGACCCCUUUUGUGCCGGAGUCAACACAAUAAGCAUUCCGCCUGGGGAGUACGGCCGCAAGGUUGAAACUCAAAGGAAUUGACGGGG
rnacentral:rRNA from 1 species